GCCCUAGCCUUCUUCCUCUCUUUUACGCGAGGCGAAUCCGGAGCCCUAGCUUUCUUCCUCUGUUCUUCUCUUCCACGGUUCCACACUUCCACCUUCGAUUCCACCAUGCUCGAGAGAAGGAGACCCUGAAGGAGAACCCUAGCUUCUCUUCCUCUCUUCUUGUCUUCAGUCAUCGCCGUCGCAGGGUCGCCUCGCAGGGUCGCCGUCGCUGGGUCGCCGUCGCUGCCUCGUUGGGUCGCCGUCGCCGAGGAGCAAUCCAUUCACCGAGAAGCAGUCCUGUCACCGAGUAGCAGUCCAGUCGCCAAGCAAGACUCCACUCACUCCAGUGGCCGUCGCAGUCCAACUCGAGCGCCGAGCAGCACUCCUGUCACCAAGCCAUCUCCUGCAGAAAGCAACUCCACAAUGCCUUCUUCGGAGAAAUUGCACCAACCAGAGAAGAUGAGAAUGAAUCUGGUGUGGAUUCAGAUUAAGCAUGGUGGUUGAUUGGCUGUUUGGUUUUUAUUUGUUUUAAAGUGACUGUUGUGGUUUAAAGUGUGUUUAUUUUUGUUGU